rnacentral:rRNA from 1 species
GGCUAACGCUGGCGGCGUGUCUUAGCCAUGCAAGUCGAGCGGACUUAUGGGGUAACUUAUAAGUCAGCGGCGGACGGCGGAGUAACACGUAGCUAACCUACCCUCUGGACGGGGGAUAACCUACCGAAAGGUGGGCUAAUACCCGAUGUAGUCAUCCUGUAUAGGGGUGAUGAAAGGUGGGCUUUUGUUUACAAGCUCAUGCUGGAGGAGGGGGGCUGCGGCCUAUCAGGUAGUUGGUAGGGUAAUAGCCUACCAAGCCGAUGACGGGUAGCCGGCCUGAGAGGGUGACCGGCCCGAGGGGCACUGAGAUACGGGUCCCACUCCUACGGGAGGCAGCAGGCUAGAAAUUUGGGCAAUGGGGGAAACCCUGACCCAGUGACGCCGCGUGCAGGAAGGAGCCCUUCGGGGUGUAAACUGCUGUCGUGUAGGGAGAAGGGUACUAAGGUGAACAAUCUUAGUACUUGACGGUACUACAGGAGGAAGCCCAGGCUAACCUCGUG